rnacentral:lncRNA from 1 species
UCCUAUUACUUAUAAUAAGAGAGAAUUUAACAUUACAAAAAAUCUGAACAUUUUUUUCAAGUAGUCACUGAACCAUGAAAAUGAGGUCAAGGUCAUUGGACAUGUGACUGAUGGAAACUUCGUAACAUGAGGCAUCCAUAUACAAAGUAUGAAGCAUCCAGGUCUUCCACCUUCUAAAAUAUGAAGCUUUUAAGAAGUUAGCUAACGCCGCCGCAUCACUAUCCCUAUGUCGAGCUUUCUGCGACAAAAGUCGCAGGCUCGACAAAAAAUUAGCAUAAUUUGAGACUGGUAAAAAAGACGACUAACUAAACUCAAACUUUUUAGCAUUUAAGUACUUGAUUUAUAAAAUAAUAAAAAAUAAUUCUGAUUGCAUAGACACAUUACUGGUUAUUUUCAUCCUACAUUCAUUCUGUCAAUAUAAGUUUUGAGUUCAUAAUUUAAGAAUCAUGGAAGAUUUUUGUUAACUUAACCUUGAAGGAAAGAAGAUGCAUGCACACACCGGUAUAAUUUUUUUUUAUCACGACCAGUCAAGUGACCUUAUUAGCAGGAUCACAUUAAAUGUACAACCUACAGAUAAACAAUAAUAUGGCAAGAACAGCAGUGAAUAAUUGCACAUCAUUAUACAUAGGUUUCAAAUGACAUUGUUUGAGUUACUUCCCUUAAAAGCCAUUUCAGAGGGAUAAAUGGUAAAUUUUCUUAUUUUUUAUUAACCUAAUUGGCCAUUUCAGAAUUUAAUGCAUUCUCGGUAAUAUUUCAAAAACAUACAUCAAAACGUUGUUGUUGGUUUAAGGUGGUACCCAACACUUUCACUAAAAUUAAUUUGGCUCGUUUAAUUUUCAUAAAAUUUUGUCAAAUUAUUUACUUUGACACUUUAACAAAAAUAUAAAAAUUUAAAAAAUUUUGAACCAACCGUUUUGCCAGAAAAAUUACACUGGUUAUAUAGCAAUUUGACAAACACCAAUAUUGAUCAUUGAGAAGCUUAAUAUUCCUUUUACACACAACGUAAUUAAAACGUUUAGCUGAUUUUACAGAGUUAUCUCCCUGUAGUGUUAGGUACCACCUUAAAGAGUUCUAAACCAUGGAAAUUCAAUAAAUGUUGUAGCAUAU